rnacentral:rRNA from 1 species
AUUGAACGCUGGCGGCAGGCCUAACACAUGCAAGUCGAGCGAGCGGCGGACGGGUGAGUAAUGUCUGGGAAACUGCCUGAUGGAGGGGGAUAACUACUGGAAACGGUAGCUAAUACCGCAUACCAUCAGAUGUGCCUAGGUCGGAUGAGCUAGUUGGUGGGGUAAAGGCCUACCAAGGCGACGAUCCGUAACUGGUCUGAGAGGAUGACCAGGCAGACUGGAACUGAGAAACGGUCCAGACGCCUACGGGAGACAGCAGUGGGGAAUAUUGCAGAAUGGGCGCAAGCAUGAUGCAGACAUGCCGCGUGUAUGAAGAAGGCAUGCGGGUUGUAGAGUGCUUUCAGCGGGGAGGCGGUACCCGCAGAAGAAGCACCGGCUAACUCCGUGCCAGCAGCCGCGGUAAUAC